GAUGAACGCUGGCGGCGUGCUUAACACAUGCAAGUCGAACGAUGAAGCCCAGCUUGCUGGGUGGAUUAGUGGCGAACGGGUGAGUAACACGUGAGUAACCUGCCCUUAACUCUGGGAUAAGCCUGGGAAACUGGGUCUAAUACCGGAUAGGAGCGUCCACCGCAUGGUGGGUGUUGGAAAGAUUUAUCGGUUUUGGAUGCACUCGCGGCCUAUCAGCUUGUUGGUGAGGUAAUGGCUCACCAAGGCGACGACGGGUAGCCGGCCUGAGAGGGUGACCGGCCACACUGGGACUGAGACACGGCCCAGACUCCUACGGGAGGCAGCAGUGGGGAAUAUUGCACAAUGGGCGCAAGCCUGAUGCAGCGACGCCGCGUGAGGGAUGACGGCCUUCGGGUUGUAAACCUCUUUCAGUAGGGAAGAAGCGAAAGUGACGGUACCUGCAGAAGAAGCACCGGCUAACUACGUG
rnacentral:rRNA from 1 species